rnacentral:sRNA from 1 species
AAGUCCCAAUAGUCUCAAUCAGAGUUCGAAUGGGACAAAGGAAAAGAAAUAUUAAUUUCAUCAAAUUGAUGAAGUAAAUUUUGCUGACAGUUUCAGAUUAUAUGCAGAGUUAGGCCCCUUUUAUGAAUACCGCGGGUAAUAGAGAGGAAAAGGGUCCAUAAAUGUCUUUUGGUGUAAUUAAAGUGUUCAACAGUAAUGUUCUAUGAAAUCUGGCCAUAUUUUUGUUGCAACUUUGUUACUUUUUUGCAGCUAUGUUUCCUUGACAUUUUUUUUUAAAUUGUGUUAUGGUUAUAAUUAUGAUGAACAUGUAUUAAUUAUUAGGUAGAAUUUCUCUGUCACUGUAAAACACACAAAGUUUGUAUUUUAAAAGGAGUUUAUCAAUAUGUGUUUAAGAGGGAUUAAAUUAUUACCAACACAUGAUUUCUGAUGCAUUUAAAAUUUAGUGAUGACUGUACACAUUAAAUUAUUUUUAAAAACCUG